GACGAACGCUGGCGGCGUGCUUAACACAUGCAAGUCGAACGGAAAGGCCCUGCUUUUGUGGGGUGCUCGAGUGGCGAACGGGUGAGUAACACGUGAGUAACCUGCCCUUGACUUUGGGAUAACUUCAGGAAACUGGGGCUAAUACCGGAUAGGAGCUCCUGCUGCAUGGUGGGGGUUGGAAAGUUUCGGCGGUUGGGGAUGGACUCGCGGCUUAUGAGCUUGUUGGUGGGGUAGUGGCUUACCGAGGCUUUGACGGGUAGCCGGCCUGUGAGGGUGACCGGCCACAUUGGGACUGAGAUACGGACCAGACUCCUACGGGAGGCAGCAGUGGGGAAUAUUGCCCAAUGGGCGGAAGCCUGAUGCAGCAACGCCGCGUGCGGGAUGACGGCCUUCGGGUUGUAAACCGCUUUCGCCUGUGACGAAGCGUGAGUGACGGUAAUGGGUAAAGAAGCACCGGCUAACUACGUG
rnacentral:rRNA from 1 species